CAGUGUGCAUGGCCAAAUUAUAAUACAGAAAAUUUGACAUCAAGCCUCAUGGAUAAUUGGUUUAAGCUGAUAAAGAUAUUACCUUUUCUUCCCCUUCUAUUUUUGUAAAUGCUUAAUUUCAUGUAUACAUGGGUUUAAAUUUUACUUCAUGGUAGUCUUUUAGUUCUUCAAAUUGCAGGAUAUUUAAUGUCUUAACUCGAGAGUUAGAACUGAUCGGUCUAAACUUUUACAAAAUUGGAGCCAUAAAGUUCUUUUCUUAAUAUUAUCUGGACUCCCAAUUCAACUAAAACUGGACUUUGAGGGAGUUUACUAGAAUCCUUGGAAUUAGUGUUGCAAAAGUGUGUUUGGAUCCAAGGCCUUAGCUUUUACAGCCAAGGAGAUGCCAAGUGGGGUUGAACAUGGCUGGAGCAACACAGUGACAGGUAUGCAUCAUUUUUAUUCUUGAUAUAUUCAUCGAUCAAUUAUCUUUUUGGGUUCAGUCUUUCAAUGUCUGUAUACUUUUCCUUCAUUUUGUAUUCAUAAUAAUAACUUUGUUCUUUUAUCACAGCCAUUUCCCUUGAUCAGUCCACAAAAUGUUGGCACCAACAAUCACUAGGCUAAGUAUUCUAUCAAUGCAACUCUGAAUACGGAUUGGCAACACAAAUACUUGAUUACCUAUGCUACAUAUAAGGAGAUAGAGCUAUUUCCUAAGCAAAGUCAGGCUGCAAGUGCCAGUAUUUAUUUAGAAAAGGUAACUCUUUAAUUUCCAUUGCUACAUAAAUCCUCAAGCUGAUUUACUUUCUGCUAUUGAUCACUGGAAGAUCUCAGACUCAUAAUUGAUGACCUAUUCCCUUUGGGUACUUUGGCCUCUGAUUAAGAUAUGCCUUUGGUCAUGAGUGAGAACAGAGAGAAAAUCCUUGUCUUUUAAGUAAUGAAC
rnacentral:lncRNA from 1 species